ensembl:lncRNA
CCCCAUCUUCACAUCUGGUUCUCAUCACCUAGUCACCUAGUUGUCCCUUGAACACAAUACUCUUAGAGGUGAUCUGACCAAGGCAAAGACCAUGGAGGGUAAUCAUUCCUUGACAUUUUUUUUCAGGAAGUCCAACUUCUCAUGAACUUCUUUGGCUGCCAUGUAACACUGAUGAUUCAAGAGACUGCCUUGGCUGGAGAAGAUUACUGUUGAAAGAAGAAGACCCUUUUUGUUUUCUCUAUUUCCCCCUCUCAUGGCUAAGGUAGGCAGGGUGGCUCAAUUCAAUUCUGGGAUUCCUCUUCAUUGGCUAUUGGAAUGAAUAGCUAUUCUAGUGUCAGUGGGUUGCAC